GUCCCUAUCGUCUAGAGGCCUAGGACAUCGCCCUUUCACGGCGGUAACCGGGGUUCGAAUCCCCGUAGGGACGCCG
rnacentral:tRNA from 1 species